UAUUAGGUUGAAUCAAAAAUAAUUGUGGUUUUUGCCAUUUCUUUUAAUGGUAAAAACUGCAAUUACUUUUGAACCAAGCAAUAU
rnacentral:miRNA from 1 species